rnacentral:rRNA from 1 species
GUGGGGAAUCUUCCGCAAUGGACGAAAGUCUGACGGAGCGACGCCGCGUGAGUGAAGAAGGCCUUCGGGUCGUAAAGCUCUGUCAUCAGGGACGAACGGCCGGUGGAGUGGAAAGCCACCGGAUUGACGGUACCUGAGAAGGAAGCCACGGCUAACUACGUGCCAGCAGCCGCGGUAAUACGUAGGUGGCAAGCGUUGUCCGGAAUUAUUGGGCGUAAAGCGCGCGCAGGUGGGAUCUUAAGUCCAUUUUGAAAGUUCGGAGCUCAACUCCGUGAUGGGAUGGAAACUGGGAUUCUUGAGUACCGGAGAGGAGAGCGGAAUUCCCCGUGUAGCGGUGAAAUGCGUAGAUAUGGGGAGGAACACCAGUGGCGAAGGCGGCUUUCUGGACGGUGUCUGACACUGAGGCGCGAAAGCUAGGGGAGCGAACGGGAUUAGAUACCCGAGUAGUCC